rnacentral:rRNA from 1 species
UACGGAGGGGGCUAGCGUUGUUCGGAAUUACUGGGCGUAAAGCGCGCGUAGGCGGCUUUGUAAGUUAGAGGGGAAAGCCCGGAGCUCAACUCCGGAAUUGCCUUUAAGACUGCAUCGCUAGAAUCAUGGAGAGGUGAGUGGAAUUCCGAGUGUAGAGGUGAAAUUCGUAGAUAUUCGGAAGAACACCAGUGGCGAAGGCGGCUCACUGGUCCGGUACUGACGCUGAGGUGCGAAAGCGUGGGGAGCAAACAGG